AUCGUGAGGGCUAGCUGCGGCCUGCUGAGCAUCCGGGAAGACAGUGACUCUGAGAGGUGGUAUUUUCAGUGUCCUGCCUAAGAAAAAUUUGCCUUCCCCAGUGUCAUGAAGAGGUCUGAUCUGCUGCUGGUAUGGCUCCUGCAUACUCCGGUUCACGUCCUCUAUGCUUUAAUGUGCUGUGUCAUCUGUUUCCUUAUUUUCUGCAUUGGCUGCUCUCAGUAAUGUCGGAUGCAGAAGUCCUGGCUGCCCGCCACGUUGGACGACGAGGUGCACUGGCCAUCGCUACCAGUGCCUGAUGUCCAGAGAGCUAAUACUGCUCUGGGCUCCCAGGGCGGCUCUGCCACCCCCAGGCCGGCCAAAUGUUUGAGUCCUAUCGUAAAACGGCGUAGACGCAAGUUUGGAAAAUGCCCUUCCCCACUGCAGAGCAUUAUUUUUUUUGUAAGUGCUAGUGAGAUUUGUCCAGUUCUUGUUACCACAGUGGAGAACAGUCACUGGUAACAUGUUGAUUUUGAUCCUCUGCUGCUGCUGCUGCUAAGUCGCUUCAGUCGUGUCCGACUCUUAGCAACCCCAUGGACUGCAGCCUACCAGGCUCCUCUGUCCGUGGGAUUUUCCAGGCAAGAGUACUGGAGUGGGAUGCCAUUGCCUUCUCCGUUGAUCCUCUAGUUACUGCCAUUUUAUCACUUAUCUACUUAAUAUUUUAUCAUGUUCACCAACGAGUUAGCAUGGUCAGGAGGGGAAAUCAGAAGUCCAGUUAAUUUUAGCAAAUUUUGUGGAAUGUUCGGUGAAGUUCUGAAAAGGUAGUGCUAGCUACAAAGAGAUUUGAGGAUUAUUCAUGGGCUUUGCUUAUCUGUGCCCUUCUGGUCAUGCACCACUGCAGAUAAUUGGAAAAGUGCCGUGUGUGCGUUACCAUGUCAGGACACUGCUCGAUGACACAGUGUGAAAUGGCAGAUUUGGGUGAUGACAAUAGCUUGGUCUAAAGCAGUAUGGUAAAAUCAGCGAAAAACACAUUUAGAAACAAAAAGACAAAGUUACUGAACAAAACAGAAUGCAAAAUUAGUUUGAAACUGUAACAGAAGAAAAUCCAUGUGUUUAAUAUUCAGUGUAUGGACCCAUAAAAAGUCAAUUAAAGGUUUAAAAUUUCAGUGCUGAUCUAUAUGUUACCACAUGUUUCCUUAAGCCCUGGUGCAGAAAUGAAUGUUUCCAAGAAUAAUCAUUUCCUCAUGAGGUGCCUUAGGCCUGCCCUGCUCACGAGUUGGAGUCUGUUGGUCUAGUGAGAAGAACUGUUUGAAAAAUUAUAAUAGUCCUUCAGAUCUGAGAAAUGCAACAGGAAAAUGUAUUGUAGCCAGCACCGUUGAUAUAAUUUUCAGCUUUAAACAAUUACGGAUUUUCUUUUUACCAUCCUUUGUUUGUAGCCUCCUGAGAUCGUACCCUGUAGUUUUAUUUAUUAGUUUUUCACCCCUCUCAAAGGGGAAAAAAAAGAAGUUAACUGCCAGGGAACUGAUAUGAUAAAGAUGGCAGGGAGGUAAGAGAGUUCUGAAUUCAGAAAGUCUCUACAGGAAGCAGUACUUCAUUAAGAAGGUGCACACAAAAUUAUUUCAACUCUAAUUUCAGAUUCUGUCUAAAAAAAUAAAGGAAUUUGAU
ensembl:lncRNA